GGUUCGAUUCUGGCUCAGAUUGAACGCUGGCGGGAUGCUUUACACAUGCAAGUCGAACGGCAGCACGGACUUCGGUCUGGUGGCGAGUGGCGAACCGGGUGGUAAUGUAUCGGAACGUGCCUAGUAGCGGGGGAUAACUACGCGAAAGCGUAGCUAAUACCACAUACGCGCCCUUCAGGGAAAGCGGGGGACCUUCGGGCCUCGCACUAUUAGAGCGGCCAUUAUCGGUUAAGCUGGUUGGUGAAUGGCGCAAACACCCGGGCGACCGAUCCGUGGCAACGGACUGAGAGGACGACCAGCCACACUGGGACUGGGAGCAGCCCGGGCCUCCUACGGGAGAGCAGCGGUGGGAAUUUUUGGACAAUGGGGAAACCUGAUCCAGCCAUCCCGUGUGCGAUGAAGGCCUUCCGGGUUGUAAAGCACUUUUGGCAGGAAAAGCGGCACGGGAUAAUACCCCGAUGCAGCGGCAAUACCUGCAGAAUAGCACGGCUAACUACGAUAACCCAGCAACCGCAGUAAUACGUAGGGUGCAAGCGUUAAUCGGAAUUACUGGGCGUAAAGCGUGCGCGGGCGGUUCGGAAAGAAAGAUGUGAAAUCAGAGAGCUUAACCUGGAACUGCAUUUUUUAACUAUACAUUAAAUUGUCAGAGGGAGGUGAAUUCCGCGUGUAGCAGUGAAAUGCGUAGAUAUGCGGAGGAACACCGAUAGCGAGAGCAGCCUCCUGGGAUAACACUGACGCUCAUGCACGAAAGCGUGGGAGCAAACAGGAUUAGAUGCCCUGGUGAUCCACGCCCUAAACGAUAAUCCUUGCUGUUGGGGCCUUCGGAGCAUGGUAUACAGCCUAACGCGUGAAGUUGACCGCCUGGGGAAGUACGGUCGCAGAUGCAAAACUCAAAGGAAUUGACGGGGACCCGCACAAGCAGUGGAUGAUGUGGAUUAAUUCGAUGCAACGCGAAAAACCUUGCCUACCCUUGACAUGUCUACUGGAAUCCGAAGAGAUUUAGGGUAAACAAGAGAACCGGAACACAGGUGCUGCAUGGCUGUCGUCAGCUCGUGUCGUGAGAUGUUGAGUUAGAGAUCCGCAACGAGCGCAACCCUUGUCAUUAGUUGCUACGAAGGGCACUCUAAUGAGACUGCCGGUGACAAACCGGAGGAAGGUGGGGAUGACGUCAAGUCCUCAUGGCCCUUAUGGGUAGGGCUUCACACGUCAUACAGUGGUCAGGACAGAGGGGUCGCCAACCCGCGAGGGAACAAUCCCGAAGCCCGAUCGUAGUCCGGAUCCGCAGUCUGCAACUCGACUGCGUGAAGUCGGAAUCGCUAAGUAAUCGCGGAUCAGCAUGUCGCGGUGAAUACAGUUCGGGUCUUGUACACACUUCCGUCACACCAUGGGAGUGGGUUUACCAGAAGUAGUUAGCCUAACCGUAAGGAGGGGCGAUUACGGUAAGGAUUCAUGACUGGGGUGAAGUCAACAAAGGUAA
rnacentral:rRNA from 1 species